rnacentral:lncRNA from 1 species
AAUAUACUGGGUUGGCAGGAACUAGAGCUAACAGUGGGAGCUCACCCCAUCUCGUGGAUUUGAACUACCAACCUUCAGGUCAGCAAU